CCAGGUAUAGGUCAGUGAUAGAGUACAUGCUUAGUAUGCAUGAGAUCCUGGGUUCAACCCCCAGUACCUCCA
rnacentral:tRNA from 1 species